CUGAUCUUUUGUUGUUAUUCUCCACUGGCUCUUAUUUUGUGAAGAGACACCCACUGAUGCACUUUUCAAGUACUUUGAUACUACAGCUGGUUUUGGCGUCCUCAGUGUUAUCUUCCAUUCCUUCCUUUUCCGUGAGGAAAGAUGCAGAGAAGCAUUUUUUGAGGAUUUUGUCAUGAUCUCUAGUUCUGACAACUUUGUUGUUAUUUUCAAGUCACUCUUUUUCCUUGAAGACAUUCGCACUGGCACACUCCUUAACAACUUUGUGUUUAAAUCUCG
rnacentral:misc_RNA from 1 species